GGGAUGACCAUUUGAAUACAGGAUAUUAAUACUUUUAACAACCAUUUUUCCAAUUACUUCAGUAUAAAUAAUGUGUCUCUGAAAGAAUAACGUGUCUCUA